CUAAGUUCUGAGGUCUGAACAAUCAGAGCCUGCGCAGAGCAUGCGUAGAGUCAGCUGAACUUGAGGGCUCGCGUCUUUCUAUGGUUAUUCUCUAGAGCCUGAGUUGCCCUCACCUGGGCCAUGUUUCUCAGCCCGCUAGUGGCCUCUGCUGGCCACACGUAACGUUGCAGUCUCUGUGUUAGGGUGGCUAAUAUUUUAGCUUGUAGACAGGCUCCAUGUGUGAUGUAAGUCAGGGAAGCAACCACAAUGCUGGGAGGUGGAGGUCUUUGUGCUUUCAGGACCCUCUCACCAAGCAGUGUCGAUCACCGUGUUGGAGGGAGGCGACUGCGGCGGUUUUUCUGUGCAUCCCAGACUGGACUCAAACCCACGGCAACCUUCCUACUUCAGCUUCCCAAGUUCUGGGGUCCUGAUACUCAGGCCUAAUUCCCUAAUUGGUUCUUCAUUUGUCAAUAAAGAAGGCGGGGAGCCAGUUGCUGCGGGGGACCGCACAGUUCACACUUCCCAGGAGGAAAAGGCAGACACAAAGAAGGAGAGGGGAUUUUUCUGCCAUGCUUUGGAGGAAAGAACAGACACUACGAUCAUGUAAGGCCUUGGGACAGCUAGGGCCUCUGGCCUCCACUACCGGUGGAUGGCCAACGAUGUUGGCAGGGCUAGCUGAUAGAGGCCACUAAGUUUAGGGUGGAGGGAAGGACCAAUGAGGGCACGUGUUUCCAGAUAGGAGGUAUUUGCACACAGCAAUCACGCUAGUAGACAAGUCCUAAAGUAAUAAAGCUGUUUGAGUGUCUUUUAGCCGAGGAUUCAAGGGUCUCGGGAUCGGGCUGGUAAUGCGGCCCCUCCUGGAGCGAAGGCCGGUAGAGAGAGGCUGGGUGGGAACUGAAGUGACAGAUCCAGAAGCUAAGUGGGAUAGGACAAAAGGGAGACAGGAGGGGCCAGAGUUGGGCAGCUCCCAGGGAAAGGCGGUAGCAUACAUUAAUAACUACACCAAACACUAGGGUUGUAUAAGCGAGCCAUCGCACAGUCAUAAAUGUAGCCGACUCUCAGUGGGGAGGAUGGAAAUGUACCGGAAACACCGGUGUACUUUGCCAACGAGAUUCAUAAAAGACCGUUAAGAUCUAAGACACUUAACUUGUUUAGGGUCCAGGGUUUGAUCCCCACCAAGAAAACAAAAGAUAGAUAAGAUCUUAUAAACUUCCCAGGCUGGCCCGGAACUUAUGAUCCACCUGCCUCUGCUUCCCAAGUAACUGUGGUUGCAGGGCUUGUGUGGCUGUGCCGCACGUGGCUUUAAUUUCUCCUGAAGGGUGUGCGAUGGUAGAUCAGGAAGUUAGUAAUGGAAUGAUUUUUGUUCUUGAACGUCAAUGUUUGUAUGUUUAACACAAGGAAAGUCAGAAUGUAUUCAUUUAAAUUUUAGUUUUAUUUUAUGUGUAUGGGUGGUACCCCACGGAGGCCAGAAGAGGAGGACAUCAGAUCCCUUGGAACUGUAAUUACAGAUGGUUAUGAGCCACCAUGCGGGUGCCGGGAACCAAACUCUGGUCCUUCUAAGAGCAGCCAGUGCUCUUAACUGCUGAGCCAUCUCUCCAGCCCCUCCGAGUGUGGUUCUAUCUAAAUAAUGCAUAAUAGGUCUUAACAGGGCAAGUGUAGGACAUGUUUACCUAAUCCAAUUUCAAGGAAACUCAGUUACUACAAAGGGAAGAGUAGGUUAAACCAAAGCUGCCCUGGAUCUCACUGUCUCACAUGUGCUUGGCUUGCAGCAGGGGAGGGGUUUGACUCCCACUGUAAUGCUGACUCGUGCACCAUUGCCAUAGCCCCUCCAGUACAGAGAAUCAGUAAGUCAUUCGUGUUCCUGGAUGGGGCUGGGGAGAUCGCUCAGUGGUUGAGGUCACACAUGAUUCUUCCAGAGGACUUGUGUUUGAUUCCCAACACUCAAAUCAAGUGGUUCACAGUCACGUGUAAGUCUAGCUCUGGGAAGGGGAUCUGACUCCUCUGGGGUCCACAGGUCCCCAAGCAUACGCGAUGUAUGCUCCCACAUAACACCUAAAAGGAAAAGAGCGUUUGUCUGUUCUCUGGUGGUCUAGACGGAGCUUCUGUUAUGACUGGUUGGGACUUAGGUAGUGUCCCUGUGGGUUGGAGUGAUCUGUGGGGGGGUUUAGAGGACUUUAGUUCCAUUCAGCGUGUCCUAAUUGUCCUACGUUUCAUCCCUGGUAACCCAUCCCUCCUGUCUGUGCUGUAUAGGGAAACAUCCUUCCAGUGACGUGUUUCAACACACAGGUUUCAACCAGUUUACAGGAUGUAGGAAGCAUUUCUCUGGAACUUGGGGGGGGGGGCUUUCUCCCCAGAUCACUGAAAAGAAUAACCUCGGGUUGAUUAUGCAAGUAAGGACAGUGGACAUUCUUGUAUCUGUCACAGGAGGUGAGGCUCAAAUGUGGAGAAAGAGGCCUUUUUAAGCCUCACCCCACAGGGCCAGGCUUGGCAAGCUCCAUCCGAGCCCGACGUGUCGGUUUGGGCUGAAGGAUGAGUUAAACUGCCUGGAAAUCAAAGACUUAGCUACUGUGCCCACCGCCCUGAUCUUCUAGCCCCAUUCUGCCCACAGAGAGUAGCAAGUUUAAGGGAAGCCUUGGCAGAAGUAUUCACGCGUGCGAAUUAGUCAGAUUUAACGCAUACGGUAUGACUUUGCUGCUUUAGUUCUACCGACAUAAAGAACAUUUUGAUAAAGCUUCAGAUAUUGAGGGUGACUGCCAUAGUCUUUGUGUUCUCAUGAAUUCUCUCAAUGCUUGUAACGGUAUUGCUAUAGGAAAAAAAUAAAAUAAAAUCAGCCUUCUUUUCUGCAGGGCUCUGGAUCCCUAAGCGGGGGAAACUGACGCAGACAACCCAUUUAGGAUGGAGAAUUCUAAGUUCUCUCACUUCUCACUCUCUGCACAUUGUCUAGUUGUGGGUCUCUGCCUCUAUUCUGAUACACUGCAGGAGGAAGUUUCUCUAGUGAUGGCUGAGCAGAGUACUGAUGGGAGAUUAGAGCAGAAUGUCCUUAGAAGUAAUCUUGUUGCUAUGUUUCUGUAGCAGAACAAUAGUAUUUGGGGUUUCCUCCUGGUACCUGGCCUAUUUAGUCUCGGGCUCUUGGCCACCCAAGCUGUGCUGGAGACAGGCCCCUUCUCACGGAGUGGGCCUUACAGCCAAUCAGGUAUGUGUUGGUUACUCCCGGCUGGUCACACCAGCACACCUUGUUGCAUGCAGGUCGUCAUUGAAAAUCACAGGGUUUGCAGGUGGCUUGGUGUUCACCCUUUUCCUUUAUAGAGCGCAGAGCACUGCGCAGCAUCCUGAAUGCUGGUCAGUAGGGUGAAGGCUCCAGGCAGGUACCAGCUCUCCACGUUCAAUGAGAGGAGGCAGAAAGACCGGAAGAGCCAAAGGGUCUGGAGAGGCUCAAGGACACAUGGCCUCGUAAACCUUGCAGGACUGAAGCACACAAGAACUCACAGAGCCUGUGGCAGCACGCACAGAGCCUGCACAGGUCUGGGCCUGAUGGAGUCCCAGUGUCGAGAGUCCAAGUGGACACAGGCCUCCAUUGUAACCCAGAAGCUCUCUCCCAUAGAUAACCGCUUGCAAAGGAAGCAUUCGUUUUCAUCAAUGGAGUCUUACUGGGUAUGCAAACCACUCUUAAGACCAGGCCGAAAUCCCGGCAUUGGACAGACAACACAAGACAAACUCAGUAAUAUUUUUGGAGUUUUUGUUUUUGUUGUCUUGUUUUUGUCUCAUAAUGCUUUGUCUGGGGAUUCUUUUUUUCUUACCCUACAGGUCCUUUGUUUAGAUGUUACGGUUUCCAACUUUUUUUUUUUAAAUGGGAUGUGUGGGAUGAUGUCAUUACGCAGGUGAAAGCAGGUACAAGAUAGAACGAGGCCUGUCAUUGGACGAGAAGGAAGGAUGGGCGGGGGAAAAGUUUCAGGGAAGAGGAGAAGACGGGAAUGGGAAGGUAGAGGAAACCGCUGAGAGAACAUGGAGGCAGAUGUUAAGAUUCGUCUCUGCACAUUUAAAGGUUGUUAUGAAUGUUCUUGAGGGAUGGAUGUGUGCAGGGCUUUGUAUGUUUAGGUGGGCAAUUAUAUCUUAUCAAUUGGAUCGGAGGUUAUUGUGCUGUGUGUUCUUUCUUGUGGUGAAUUAAACUUAAGAAAGUGUGUGGCAGCUGGCACACUAAGCUACCACAGAAUUGGGAUGUAUAUUUCUGGCAUGGUGGCAGCCUGCCUUGGGAACUGGAUGGGUAGAGAGAUUGUUGCCAGGCUCAGAGAGAGGCCAUCAGCAGUGUGAUAUCAACAGGGAUGUCUGUGUGGCCAGUAUGUAUGUCUCUGCUUCUGUAUAUGUUUCUUGUGUUUUUUCCCUUUGUCUCUUUGUUUUUCCUGUUCGUUUUAAUUUUAUUUUAUUAUUUUUUCUUCUUUAGAUGCCUGUUGGUUUUCUUUUCUUUUUUUUUUAAAAAGGAUUUAUUUAUUUA